rnacentral:misc_RNA from 1 species
UCGGGUAAGUUCCGACCUGCACGAAUGGCAUAAUGAUGGGGGCGCUGUCUCCAGCAGAGACUCAGUGAAAUCGAAUUCGCCGUGAAGAUGCGGUGUACCCGCGGCUAGACGNNNNNNNNNNNNCAGCUUGACAUUGAACUUUGAUCUUACUUGUGUAGGAUAGGUGGGAGGCUUUGAAACCGAGACGCUAGUUUCGGUGGAGCCAAUCUUGAAAUACCACCCUGGUAAUAUUGAGGUUCUAACUCUGCUCCAUUAUCUGGAGCGAGGACCAUGUCUGGUGGGUAGUUUGACUGGGGCGGUCUCC